rnacentral:rRNA from 1 species
GAACGUACGCUGGCGGCACGCCUAACACAUGCAAGUCGAACGAAGUAGCAAUACUUAGUGGCAGACGGGUGAGUAACAUGUAGGUAUCUGCCCUUUGGCCUGGAAUAACACGAGGAAACUUGUGCUAAUACCGGAUAAGUCUUUACGGAGAAAGCUUUAUGCACCAUUGGAUGAGCCUGCACUUGAUUAGUUUGUUGGUAGGGUAAUGGCCUACCAAGACUAUGAUCAAUAGCUGAUUUGAGAGGAUGAUCAGCCACAUUGGGACUGAGACACGGCCCAAACUCCUACGGGAGGCAGCAGUGGGGAAUCUUGCACAAUGGAGGAAACUCUGAUGCAGCGAUGCCGCGUGAGUGAAGAAGGCCUUUGGGUUGUAAAGCUCUUUCGUCGGGGAAGAAAAUGACUGUACCCGAAUAAGAAGGUCCGGCUAACUUCGUGCCAGCAGCCGCGGUAAUACGAAGGGACCUAGCGUAGUUCGGAAUUACUGGGCUUAAAGAGUUCGUAGGUGGUUAAAAAAGUUGGUGGUGAAAUCCCAGAGCUUAACUCUGGAACUGCCAUCAAAACUUUUUAGCUAGAGUAUGAUAGAGGAAAGCAGAAUUUCUAGUGUAGAGGUGAAAUUCGUAGAUAUUAGAAAGAAUACCGAUUGCGAAGGCAGCUUUCUGGAUCAUUACUGACACUGAGGAACGAAAGCAUGGGUAGCGAAGAGGAUUAGAUACCCUCGUAGUCCAUGCCGUAAACGAUGUGUGUUAGACGUUGGAAAUUUAUUUUCAGUGUCGCAGCGAAAGCGAUAAACACACCGCCUGGGGAGUACGACCGCAAGGUUAAAACUCAAAUGAAUUGACGGGGACCCGCACAAGUAGUGGGGCAUGUGGUUUAAUUCGAAGAUACGCGCAGAACCUUACCAACACUUGACAUGUUCGUCGCGACUCUAAGAGAUUAGAGUUUUCGGUUCGGCCGGACGAAACACAGGUGCUGCAUGGCUGUCGUCAGCUCGUGUCGUGAGAUGUUGGGUUAAGUCCCGCAACGAGCGCAACCCUCACUUUUAGUUGCCAUCAUUAAGUUGGGCACUCUGAAAGAACUGCCAGUGAUAAGCUGGAGGAAGGUGGGGAUGACGUCAAGUCCUCAUGGCCCUUACGUGUUGGGCUACACACGUGCUACAAUGGUAUCUACAACAGGAAGCAAAACAGCGAUGUUAAGCAAAUCCCGAAAAGAUACCUCAGUUCGGAUUGCACUCUGCAACUCGAGUGCAUGAAGCUGGAAUUACUAGUAAUCGUGGAUCAGCGUGCCACGGUGAAUGCGUUCCCGGGUCUUGUACUCACCG